AAAGAUUAUUAAUUAUGUAAACACAAACGCGACUGUUUGUACAUUAUACUGGGUUAAAAAUCGCUUGCAGUUCACUUAUAACCAACUGAUCUCUAUCUUCACAAGAAUUUGGACACACAUCAAUGUACACUUGAUUCAAUUAACUGUUUAAAUUAAACUCUCAACACGUUGCCAUUUCCAUAUCGAUUUGAAUUGUGAAAUUUUUGGCAUUGUGAUGUUUGCUCAUCAAAAAUGUAGCUCUGAUAACAAUAAAGUAUGUUAAAUUCUGUUAGAUAAAAAAUA